ACCGAUACGCACGACUACGAAGUCAAAAUGCGCAACGUGUUUAAGUUUUUGGAAAACGGUGACAAGGUCAAGAUCACGCUGCGGUUCCGCGGCCGUGAGAUGGCCCACCAGAACUUGGGCCGCGAGCUUUUGGAACGUGUCGCCGAAGACACCAAAGACGCGGGCAAGGUCGAAAACAUGCCCAAGAUGGAAGGCCGCCAGAUGAUUAUGCUGAUCGGCCCGCUUCCAAAAUGAAGCACGUCUUGAUUGAGUGAAGAAGCGGCCCGGGGUAGUUCCGGGCCGUUUUUUGUUUAACCACUAAGAUUAGACAAACAUGCAGAACACGGCUCCAACUCAAGUCCUGC
rnacentral:misc_RNA from 1 species